UAACUCCGUGCCAGCAGCCGCGGUAAUACGGAGGAUCAAGCGUUAUCCGGAAUCAUUGGGUUUAAAGGGUCCGUAGCGGCCUCGUAAGUCAGUGGUGAAAUCUCCCGGCUCAACCGGGAAAUUGCCAUUGAUACUGCAGGGCUUGAAUUAUUAGGAAGUAACUAGAAUAUGUAGUGUAGCGGUGAAAUGCUUAGAUAUUACAUGGAAUACCGAUUGCGAAGGCAGGUUACUACUAAUAUAUUGACGCUGAUGGACGAAAGCGUGGGUAGCGAACAGGAUUAGAUACCCUGGUAGUCCACGCCGUAAACGAUGGAUACUAGCUGUUCGGGUGCAAAUUCUGAGUGGCUAAGCGAAAGUGAUAAGUAUCCCACCUGGGUGAGAUCGUUCGCAAGAAUGA
rnacentral:rRNA from 1 species